rnacentral:rRNA from 1 species
ACAGGAUUAGAUACCCUGGUAGUCCACGCAGUAAACGAUGAUUACUGGCUGUUUGCGAUACAAUGUAAGCGGCUGAGCGAAAGCGUUAAGUAAUCCACCUGGGGAGUACGUUCGCAAGAAUGAAACUCAAAGGAAUUGACGGGGGCCCGCACAAGCGGAGGAACAUGUGGUUUAAUUCGAUGAUACGCGAGGAACCUUACCCGGGCUUGAAAUGCGGUGGACCGGCGGAGAGAUCCGCCCUCCCUUCGGGGCCACCGUGUAGGUGCUGCAUGGUUGUCGUCAGCUCGUGCCGUGAGGUGUCGGCUUAAGUGCCAUAACGAGCGCAACCCUCAUCAUUAGUUACUAACAGGUAAAGCUGAGGACUCUAAUGAGACUGCCAUCGUAAGAUGCGAGGAAGGUGGGGAUGACGUCAAAUCAGCACGGCCCUUACGUCCGGGGCGACACACGUGUUACAAUGGGUGGUACAAAGGGCAGCUACCUGGCGACAGGAUGCCAAUCCCCAAAACCACUCUCAGUUCGGAUCGGAGUCUGCAACUCGACUCCGUGAAGCU